rnacentral:rRNA from 1 species
UGCAAGUCGAACGAUGAUGCCCAGCUUGCUGGGUGGAUUAGUGGCGAACGGGUGAGUAACACGUGAGUAACCUGCCCUUGACUUCGGGAUAACUCCGGGAAACCGGGGCUAAUACCGGAUAUGAGCCGUCCUCGCAUGGGGGUGGUUGGAAAGUUUUUCGGUCAGGGAUGGGCUCGCGGCCUAUCAGCUUGUUGGUGGGGUGAUGGCCUACCAAGGCGACGACGGGUAGCCGGCCUGAGAGGGCGACCGGCCACACUGGGACUGAGACACGGCCCAGACUCCUACGGGAGGCAGCAGUGGGGAAUAUUGCACAAUGGGCGAAAGCCUGAUGCAGCGACGCCGCGUGAGGGAUGAAGGCCUUCGGGUUGUAAACCUCUUUCAGCAGGGAAGAAGCGCAAGUGACGGUACCUGCAGAAGAAGCGCCGGCUAACUACGUGCCAGCAGCCGCGGUAAUACGUAGGGCGCAAGCGUUGUCCGGAAUUAUUGGGCGUAAAGAGCUCGUAGGCGGUUUGUCGCGUCUGGUGUGAAAACUCGAGGCUCAACUUCGAGCUUGCAUCGGGUACGGGCAGACUAGAGUGCGGUAGGGGAGACUGGAAUUCCUGGUGUAGCGGUGGAAUGCGCAGAUAUCAGGAGGAACACCGAUGGCGAAGGCAGGUCUCUGGGCCGCAACUGACGCUGAGGAGCGAAAGCAUGGGGAGCGAACAGGAUUAGAUACCCUGGUAGUCCAUGCCGUAAACGUUGGGCACUAGGUGUGGGGCUCAUUCCACGAGUUCCGUGCCGCAGCAAACGCAUUAAGUGCCCCGCCUGGGAGUACGGCCGCAAGGCUAAAACUCAAAGGAAUUGACGGGGGCCCGCACAAGCGGCGGAGCAUGCGGAUUAAUUCGAUGCACGCGAAGACCUUACCAAGGCUUG